AACGAACGCUGGCGGCGUGCCUAACACAUGCAAGACGAACGUGAUUGGAAGCUUGCUUCCAUGAAAGUGGCGCACGGGUGAGUAACGCGUAGAUAAUCUGCCUGAUGAUCCGGGAUAACACCUCGAAAGGGGUGCUAAUACCGGAUAAGCCCACGGGGUCUUCGGACUCUGCGGGAAAAGGGGGGGACUUUCGGGCCUUCCGUCAUCAGAUGAGUCUGCGUACCAUUAGCUAGUUGGUAGGGUAAAGGCCUACCAAGGCGACGAUGGUUAGCUGGUCUGAGAGGAUGAUCAGCCACACUGGAACUGAGACACGGUCCAGACUCCUACGGGAGGCAGCAGUGGGGAAUUUUGCGCAAUGGGGGAAACCCUGACGCAGCAACGCCGCGUGAGUGAUGAAGGCCCUUGGGUCGUAAAGCUCUGACAGAGGGAAAGAAGUGCAGGGGUGCUAAUAUCACCUUUGCUUGACGGUACCCUCAAAGGAAGCACCGGCUAACUCCGUGCCAGCCGCCGCGGUAAAAC
rnacentral:rRNA from 1 species